AGACACGGCCCAAACUCCUACGGGAGGCAGCAGUAGGGAAUUUUCGUCAAUGGGGGGAACCCUGAACGAGCAAUGCCGCGUGAGUGAAGAAGGUCUUCGGAUCGUAAAGCUCUGUUGUAAGAGAAAAACGACAUUCAUAGGGAAUGAUGAGUGAGUGAUGGUAUCUUACCAGAAAGUCACGGCUAACUACGUGCCAGCAGCCGCGGUAAUACGUAGGUGGCGAGCGUUAUCCGGAAUGAUUGGGCGUAAAGGGUGCGUAGGUGGCAGAACAAGUCUGGAGUAAAAGGUAUGGGCUCAACCCGUACUGGCUCUGGAAACUGUUCAGCUAGAGAACAGAAGAGGACGGCGGAACUCCAUGUGUAGCGGUAAAAUGCGUAGAUAUAUGGAAGAACACCGGUGGCGAAGGCGGCCGUCUGGUCUGUUGCUGACACUGAAGCACGAAAGCGUGGGGAGCAAAUAGGAUUAGAUACCCUAGUAGUCCACGCCGUAAACGAUGAGAACUAGGUGUUGGGGGAAUAACUCAGUGCCGCAGUUAACGCAAUAAGUUCUCCGCCUGGGGAGUAUGCACGCAAGUGUGAAACUCAAAGGAAUUGACGGGGGCCCGCACAAGCGGUGGAGUAUGUGGUUUAAUUCGAAGCAACGCGAAGAACCUUACCAGGCCUUGACAUCCCUUGCAGAGGUAUAGAGAUAUAUCCGAGGUUAUCAAGGAGACAGGUGGUGCAUGGUUGUCGUCAGCUCGUGUCGUGAGAUGUUGGGUUAAGUCCCGCAACGAGCGCAACCCUUGUGAUAUGUUACUAACAUUGAGUUGAGGACUCAUAUCAGACUGCCGGUGAUAAACCGGAGGAAGGUGGGGAUGACGUCAAAUCAUCAUGCCCCUUAUGGCCUGGGCUACACACGUACUACAAUGGCGUCUACAAAGAGCGGCAAGCCUGUGAAGGCAAGCGAAUCUCAUAAAGGACGUCUCAGUUCGGAUUGAAGUCUGCAACCCGACUUCAUGAAGCUGGAAUCGCUAGUAAUCGCGAAUCAGCAUGUCGCGGUGAAUACGUUCUCGGGCCUUGUACACACCGCCCGUCAAACCAUGGGAGUUGGUAAUGCCCGAAGCCGGUGGCAUAACCUUUCGAGGAGUGAGCCGUCGAAGGCAGGACCGAUGACUGGGGUUAAGUCGUAACAAGGUAUCCCUACGGGAA
rnacentral:rRNA from 1 species